UACUCAGAUCAUCUAAUCUAUCAUAUAAAUAACUAAAUCUGAAAAUAAAAUAUAUUUAGAUCUAAUCUAAAUAUCAAAUAAUUAGAUCUAAAGAUAUAUUAUCAAAUCUAAUAGCAUAUUAAAUCACAUCAUAAAGAACAUGGUUCUGAUACCAAUUGAAUGAAACAUACGGUAGUGCUAUGCAUAUAAUUUUAAAAAUUUUAUGCAGUAGAACAAUAAGAUUAAAUAAUUUAAUUUAAAUUAUAUGCAUG
rnacentral:lncRNA from 1 species